GACGAACGACGAACGUUGUUCGGAAUCACUGGGCUUAAAGGGCGCGUAGGCGGGCUGCCGCGUCCGGGGUGAAAUCCCACGGCUCAACCGUGGAACGGCCCCGGGUACGGGCGGCCUCGAGGGGGGUAGGGGCGUGCGGAACUGUGGGUGGAGCGGUGAAAUGCGUUGAUAUCCACAGGAACUCCGGUGGCGAAGGCGGCACGCUGGACCCCUUCUGACGCUGAGGCGCGAAAGCCAGGGGAGCGAACGGG
rnacentral:rRNA from 1 species